GACGAACGCUGGCGGCGUGCUUAACACAUGCAAGUCGAACGGAAAGGCCCUGCUUUUGUGGGGUGCUCGAGUGGCGAACGGGUGAGUAACACGUGAGUAACCUGCCCUUGACUUUGGGAUAACUUCAGGAAACUGGGGCUAAUACCGGAUAGGAGCUCCUGCUGCAUGGUGGGGGUUGGAAAGUUUCGGCGGUUGGGGAUGGACUCGCGGCUUAUCAGCUUGUUGGUGGGGUAGUGGCUUACCAAGGCUUUGACGGGUAGCCGGCCUGAGAGGGUGACCGGCCACAUUGGGACUGAGAUACGGCCCAGACUCCUACGGGAGGCAGCAGUGGGGAAUAUUGCACAAUGGGCGGAAGCCUGAUGCAGCAACGCCGCGUUCGGGAUGACGGCCUUCGGGCUGUAAACCGCUUUCGCCUGUGACGAAGCGUGAGUGACGGUAAUGGGUAAAGAAGCACCGGCUAACUACGUG
rnacentral:rRNA from 1 species